CACAAUAAAAGGCCACUCUAAAAUGUGCAGUUUGCACAAUGCCACAGAUGUCUUAAGUUUUGAGGGAGUGUGCAAUUGGCAUGCUGACUGCAGGAAUGUCCACCAGAGCUGUUGCCUGUGAAUUGAAUGUUCAUUUCUCUACCAUAAGCCGUCUCCAAAGGAGUUUCAGAGAAUUUCGCAGUACAUCCAACCGGCCUCACAACUGCAGACCACAUGUAACCACACCAGCCCAGGAC